CCAGCCUCUCCCGGGGACCGCUCCGCAGUGCGAGCCAGCGGCUCGUUGCUGGCAGCGGGGCCGUUAGCCAAGCUCUCCAGCUCUCCUGCUGGGCCUGGGGCGUCACCUUAUCUUUCCCAGAAAAUGUGGCUUCGAUCAGCCAGAGUCCCCUCUUAUUGCUUGCAGGUAAAAUCCAGGCUGACACAGAGACGAAGACCAACGAGCUGGAUGAACACUGAGAACGACGCCUGUCGGGAGAUGCAGCCGUGCCUGGCAGCUGGGCCGCUGCGCCCGCCUCCCUGGAGAGCUGGGUGGGAACGUCGGGCGCUACUCCCGGAGGGGAAUGGACUCCACGGCUGGCAGCUCCAGGCAUUGGGGCAGACUGGCAGGGGGCCCGCGAGGGGCCUGAAGAACAGCCUACUGGUCAGAAAGCUGAACAUUUCACCUGAGCAAAGAUGGAAUGAAAACACGUUAGAUGGUAAGUAACCCAGGGGAGAAUGCC
rnacentral:lncRNA from 1 species